rnacentral:rRNA from 1 species
GUGUCAGCAGCCGCGGUAAUACGGAGGGGGCAAGCGUUGUCCGGACUUACUGGGCGUAAAGGGUGCGUAGGCGGUUGCGUGCGUCAGCGCUGAAAUCCGUGGGCUCAACCCACGGGCGCGUGCUGAUACGACGCGACUUGAGGCUCGGAGAGGGUGGGAGAACUCCUGGUGUAGUGGUGAAAUGCGUAGAGAUCAGGAAGAAUACCCGUGGCGCAAGCGCCCACCUGGCCGAGACCUGACGCUAAGGCACGAAAGCGUGGGGAGCGAACCGGAUUAGAUACCCUUGUAGUCC